UUACUAAAUUAUCGGUGCUGACUUUGAAC
rnacentral:piRNA from 1 species